rnacentral:rRNA from 1 species
AAUGAACGCUGGCGGCAUGCCUAACACAUGCAAGUCGAACGAAGGCUUCGGCCUUAGUGGCGCACGGGUGCGUAACGCGUGGGAGUCUGCCCUCACGUUCGGAAUAACAGCGAGAAAUUGCUGCUAAUACCGGAUGAUGACGAAAGUCCAAAGAUUUAUCGCCAGAGGAUGAGCCCGGGUAGGCUUAGCUAGUUGGUGUGGUAAAGGCGCACCAAGGCGACGAUCCUUAGCUGGUCUGAGAGGAUGAUCAGCCACACUGAGACUGAGACACGGCCCAGAAUCCUACGGGAGGCAGGAGUGGGGAAUAUUGGACAAUGGGCGAAAGCCUGAUCCAGCAAUGCCGCGUGAGUGAUGAAGGCCUUAGGGUUGUAAAGCUCUUUUACCCGGGAUGAUAAUGACAGUACCGGGAGAAUAAGCUCCGGCUAACUCCGUGCCAGCCGCCGCCGUAA